rnacentral:rRNA from 1 species
AACGAACGCUGGCGGCAUGCCUAACACAUGCAAGUCGAACGAGACCUUCGGGUCUAGUGGCGCACGGGUGCGUAACGCGUGGGAACCUGCCCUUAGGUUCGGAAUAACUCCCCGAAAGGGGUGCUAAUACCGGAUAAUGUCUUCGGACCAAAGAUUUAUCGCCUUUGGAUGGGCCCGCGUUGGAUUAGCUAGUUGGUAGGGUAAAAGCCUACCAAGGCGACGAUCCAUAGCUGGUCUGAGAGGAUGAUCAGCCACACUGGGACUGAGACACGGCCCAGACUAAUACGGGAGGAAGCAGUGGGGAAGAUUGGAGAAGGGGCGAAAGCCUGAACCAGCUAUGACGCGGGAGUGAUGAAGGACUUAGGGUGGUAAAGCUCUUUGACCCGGGAGGAUAAGGAGAGGACCGGGAGAAUAAGCACCGGCUAACUCCGUG